rnacentral:rRNA from 1 species
AGCGAACGCUGGCGGCAGGCUUAACACAUGCAAGUCGAACGCAUCCUUCGGGAUGAGUGGCAGACGGGUGAGUAACACGUGGGAACGUGCCCUCCGGUCUGGGAUAACCCUGGGAAACUAGGGCUAAUACCGGAUACGUGCUCAGGCAGAAAGGUUUACUGCCGGAGGAUCGGCCCGCGUCUGAUUAGCUCGUUGGUGGGGUAACGGCCUACCAAGGCGACGAUCAGUAGCUGGUCUGAGAGGAUGAUCAGCCACACUGGGACUGAGACACGGCCCAGACUCCUACGGGAGGCAGCAGUGGGGAAUAUUGGACAAUGGGCGCAAGCCUGAUCCAGCCAUGCCGCGUGAGUGAUGACGGCCUUAGGGUUGUAAAGCUCUUUUACCCGGGAUGAUAAUGACAGUACCGGGAGAAUAAGCUCCGGCUAACUCCGUGCCAGCCGCCGCCGUAA